UUGACCUCGGAUCAGGUAGGGAUACCCGCUGAACUUAAGCAUAUCAAUAAGCGGAGGAAAAGAAACCAACAGGGAUUGCCUCAGUAACGGCGAGUGAAGCGGCAACAGCUCAAAUUUGAAAUCUGCCUCUAGGCCGAAUUGUAAUUUGUAGAAGAUGCUUCGGGUGUGGCACUGGUCUAAGUUCCUUGGAACAGGACGUCAUAGAGGGUGA
rnacentral:rRNA from 1 species